rnacentral:rRNA from 1 species
AGCAGCCGCGGUAAUUCCAGCUCCAAUAGCGUAUAUUAAAGUUGUUGCAGUUAAAAAGCUCGUAGUUGAAUUUCGGGAUCAGUUGAUCGGUCGUGCCUCGGUACGUACUGGUCAAAUUGAUUCCUACCUUCUGACGAACCACGAUGUCAUUAAUUUGGUGUCGCGGGAAAUCAGGACUGUUACUUUGAAAAAAUUAGAGUGUUUAAAGCAGGCUCGCGCUUGAAUACAUUAGCAUGGAAUAAUGAAAUAGGACGUUUGAUUCUAUUUUGUUGGUUUCUAGGAUCGACGUAAUGAUUAAUAGGGAUAGUUGGGGGCAUUAGUAUUCAAUUGUCAGAGGUGAAAUUCUUGGAUUUAUUGAAGACUAACUACUGCGAAAGCAUUUGCCAAGGAUGUUUUCAUUAAUCAAGAACGAAAGUUAGGGGAUCGAAGACGAUCAGAUACCGUCGUAGUCUUAACCAUAAACUAUGCCGACUAGGGAUCGGAUGAUGUUAAUUUUUAAUGACUCAUUCGGCGCCUUAC